GCUUGUGCCUUCGGGAACUUAGAGACAGGUGCUGCAUGGCUGUCGUCAGCUCGUGUUGUGAAAUGUUGGGUUAAGUCCCGCAACGAGCGCAACCCUUAUCCUUUGUUGCCAGCGAUUUGGUCGGGAACUCAAAGGAGACUGCCAGUGAUAAACUGGAGGAAGGUGGGGAUGACGUCAAGUCAUCAUGGCCCUUACGAGUAGGGCUACACACGUGCUACAAUGGCGUAUACAGAGGGAAGCGAA
rnacentral:rRNA from 1 species